rnacentral:rRNA from 1 species
UGGCCUUUUGAUUAUAAUUUAAGGUUUAAUCUGCCCACUGAGUUUUUAAAUGGCCGCGGUAUUUUGACCGUGCAAAGGUAGCAUAAUAAUUAGUUUCUUAAUUAGAAGCUGGAAUGAAYGAUUGAAUGAGAAAGCGACUGUCUCAAAUUAAUUUAAUUAGAAUUUUAUUUUUAAGUUAAAAAGCUUAAAUAUUUUUAAAAGACGAGAAGACCCUAUAGAGUUUUAUUAAAAAAAAGAAUAAAUUUAUUUAGAUUAUAUGAUAUUUAUAUUUUUUUUUAAUUUUGUUGGGGUGACAMAAAAAUUAAUGAAACUUUUUYUAUAUAAUACCAUUGAUAAAUGAAAAAUUGAUCCAAAAUUUUUGAUUAUAAGAUUAAAUUACCUUAGGGAUAACAGCGUAWUUUUUUUUGAGAGUUCUAAYCGAAAAAARAGAYUGCGACCYCGAUGUUGGAUUAAAAUUUGAGUUUGGUGUAGAAGCUAAAUAUCUAGGUCUGUUCGACCUUUAAAAUUUU